GACGAACGCUGGCGGCGUGCUUAACACAUGCAAGUCGAACGGUGACCUUGGGAGCUUGCUCUUGAGUGAUCAGUGGCGAACGGGUGAGUAACACGUGAGUAACCUGCCCCAGACUCUGGAAUAACCCCGGGAAACCGGAGCUAAUACCGGAUAUGACACGGGACCGCAUGGUCAUCGUGUGGAAAGUUUUUCGGUCUGGGAUGGACUCGCGGCCUAUCAGCUUGUUGGUGAGGUAAUGGCUCACCAAGGCGACGACGGGUAGCCGGCCUGAGAGGGCGACGGGCCACACUGGGACUGAGACACGGCCCAGACUCCUACGGGAGGCAGCAGUGGGGAAUAUUGCACAAUGGGCGAAAGCCUGAUGCAGCGACGCCGCGUGAGGGAUGACGGCCUUCGGGUUGUAAACCUCUUUCAGCAGGGAAGAAGCGCAAGUGACGGUACCUGCAGAAGAAGCACCGGCUAACUACGUGCCAGCCGCCGCCGUAAGAC
rnacentral:rRNA from 1 species